rnacentral:rRNA from 1 species
AGCGAACGCUGGCGGCAGGCCUAACACAUGCAAGUCGAACGAAGUCUUCGGACUUAGUGGCGGACGGGUGAGUAACACGUGGGAACGUACCUUUUGGUUCGGAACAACUCAGGGAAACUUGAGCUAAUACCGGAUGAGCCCUUAGGGGGAAAGAUUUAUCGCCGAAAGAGCGGCCCGCGUUAGAUUAGCUAGUUGGGGGGGUAAAGGCUCACCAAGGCUACGAGCUAUAGCUGGUUUGAGAGGAUGAUAAGCCACACUGGGACUGAGACACGGCCCAGACUCCUGCGGGAGGCAGCAGUGGGGAAUCUUGCGCAAUGGGCGAAAGCCUGACGCAGCCAUGCCGCGUGAAUGAUGAAGGUCUUAGGAUUGUAAAAUUCUUUUACCAGGGACGAUAAUGACGGUACCUGGAGAAAAAGCCCCGGCUAACUUCGUGCCAGCCGCCGCAGUAAAAC